rnacentral:rRNA from 1 species
AGGGACACACAUAGCUGAUUGCCAAUGCCUGGUCUCAUAAAUCUCAGAAGCUAAGCAAGCCUUGGCCUGGUUAGUACUUGGAUGGGAGACCACUGAGGUCAUUGUGUCCUUA